AUCGAGCCCCUCUCCAGGGUUGGACACUGGUGUUAUUGAUGGAAUUUAGCGGUAAUUUUGGUGGCCUGGUGGUCUGUCGUGGUGUCUGCCGUCCGUGCUAUGUGUUGAUUUAAUGACUCAAUGAUAAGAAAAGUUGAGGUCAGUCGAAUGACACAAACGGAACAUCAGACCAUUUGAGGGACAAUUUACUUAAAUUUUGAAAGGACUAGGCAUUGUUGGUAACAGUGAUAAAGUUCUAGACUCGACCAACACUGAACAGAAAACAUUCAAUAGUUAUUUAUUCGACGAGUUUGAGUGUAUAUCGGACGCUUUAUUUCACGAAUGGAUUUUUAAACCAGGGGUGAAAACGAGUUCUUCAAUUCAAACUGUGGCUAGUAAGGAUAAUCAUCUGAAAAUUUGUAUACAACCAUAAUCUCUCAAUAAAAAUAUUUUCAAGUUGGUGCCACUUUCGGUUAUACCGGAAGUCGCCAUCAACUUACUUAUUUUAAAAUGAAAGGUAUAUUUUUUAAUGCCUUUUUGUAUUACAGAGUUAUUUUAGUUAGUUUUUAUAAGCUUUUCUAUACCUAAAUUUAUCCGUUUACAAAAUAUUUAGAGUUUUUCUUUUUUUUGGAUUUGCACUUUCCAAUUUAAAAAUCGAUAACUCUGUCAUUUCGCAUUUGAUAUUUAAUCAAGGCCAAUUUUAUAGCGGUGGACUGGUAUUGAGAGAAAAUACGACGUUGGCGUUUUUAAUACAUGGACGCCAUGUUUGUUACUUCUAUUUAUAAGAAGCCUUUUUGUUCCUUAUUACAACGAUGUAUCAGAAAUGAUCUAACCUCAGAUGUUGGUAAAAUUAAGAAAAACGCGUUUUUGCAAAGAGUGCUUUGGAAAAACUCCAAAAAUUUUGUUUAACAAACUAAAUUUUAACAGUUCUAUUAAAUGUGGGAGCAGAAUGUUUUGUAACUUUGCCUUAUUUUGUUUUGUGAAGAAUAAAAUUCUUGCUUAUAAUGUC